UACGUAGGGGGCAAGCGUUGUCCGGAAUCAUUGGGCGUAAAGAGCGUGUAGGCGGCCCGAUAAGUCCGCCGUGAAAGUCCAGGGCUCAACCCUGGAAUGCCGGUGGAAACUGUCGGGCUGGAGUCCGGAAGAGGCGAGUGGAAUUCCUGGUGUAGCGGUGAAAUGCGCAGAUAUCGGGAGGAACACCUAUAGCGAAGGCAGCUUACUAGGCUGUAACUGACGCUGAGGCACGAAAGUGUGGGGAUCAAACAGG
rnacentral:rRNA from 1 species